CACGUAGGGGGCAAGCGUUUGUCCGGAUUCAUUGGGCGUAAAGAGCUCGUAGGCGGCUCAGUAAGUCGGGUGUGAAACCCUCAGGCUCAACCUGGGGACGCCACUCGAUACUGCUGUGGCUAGAGUCCAGUAGAGGAGUGUGGAAUUCCCGGUGUAGCGGUGAAAUGCGCAGAUAUCGGGAGGAACACCAACGGCGAAGGCAGCACUCUGGGCUGGAACUGACGCUGAGGAGCGAAAGCGUGGGUAGCAAACAGG
rnacentral:rRNA from 1 species